rnacentral:rRNA from 1 species
UAGUUGGUGGGGUAAAGGCCUACCAAGGCGACGAUCUGUAGCGGGUCUGAGAGGAUGAUCCGCCACACUGGGACUGAGACACGGCCCAGACUCCUACGGGAGGCAGCAGUGGGGAAUAUUGGACAAUGGGGGGAACCCUGAUCCAGCCAUGCCGCGUGUGUGAAGAAGGCCUUAUGGUUGUAAAGCACUUUAAGCGAGGAGGAGGCUACUGAGACUAAUACUCUUGGAUAGUGGACGUUACUCGCAGAAUAAGCACCGGCUAACUCUGUGCCAGCAGCCGCGGUAAUACAGAGGGUGCGAGCGUUAAUCGGAUUUACUGGGCGUAAAGCGUGCGUAGGCGGCUUUUUAAGUCGGAUGUGAAAUCCCCGAGCUUAACUUGGGAAUUGCAUUCGAUACUGGGAAGCUAGAGUAUGGGAGAGGAUGGUAGAAUUCCAGGUGUAGCGGUGAAAUGCGUAGAGAUCUGGAGGAAUACCGAUGGCGAAGGCAGCCAUCUGGCCUAAUACUGACGCUGAGGUACGAAAGCAUGGGGAGCAAACAGGAUUAGAUACCCUGGUAGUCCAUGCCGUAAACGAUGUCUACUAGCCGUUGGGGCCUUUGAGGCUUUAGUGGCGCAGCUAACGCGAUAAGUAGACCGCCUGGGGAGUACGGUCGCAAGACUAAAACUCAAAUGAAUUGACGGGGGCCCGCACAAGCGGUGGAGCAUGUGGUUUAAUUCGAUGCAACGCGAAGAACCUUACCUGGCCUUG